AGGCCCUGCGCCGAAAAUAUCCGGGGCUCAAGUACAGAACCGAAGUCGCGGGAUGCGCAAGCAUCGGUAGGGGAGCGUUCCAAGCAGGUUGAAGGCAGACCGGAAGGACGGCUGGACAGCUUGGAAGUGAGAAUGCUGGUAUGAGUAGCGAAACGAUCCGUGAGAAUCGGAUCCACCGAAAGCCUAAGGGAUCCUGAGCAACGCUCGUCGUCUCAGGGUAAGUCGGGACCUAAGCCGAGGCAUAAAGCAUAGGCGAUGGACAACAGGCGAAAAUUCCUGUACUGCAUGAUGUUGUUUGAGGAUGGAGUGACACAGCAAGGAGCUUGAGCGCGCGAUUGGAAAUGCGCGUCGAAGGCGGUAGGCUGGUAUAGAGGCAAAUCCCUGUACUAAGGCCGAGAACUGAUAGAUAGGAGCGUACUUCGGUACAAUCCGAAUUCAAGCGUACUACACUGUCGAGAAAAGCUUCUAACGAGACAUCAUGUACCCGUACCAAAACCGACACAGGUAGGCGGGGAGAGAAUCCUAAGGUGCGCGGGAAAACCCUCGUUAAGGAACUCGGCAAAAUGCAUCCGUAACUUCGGGAGAAGGAUGGCCGGAGCUGGUGAAGACCCUUGCGGUUGGAGCUGGAGCCGGCGGCAGAAGAGAAGCCCAAGCGACUGUUUACCACAAACACAGGUGCCUGCUAAAGAGAAAUCUGACGUAUAGGUGCUGACACCUGCCCGGUGCUGGAAGGUUAAGAGGAGAGGUUAUUCGCAAGAAGAAGCUUUGAAUUGAAGCCCCAGUAAACGGCGGCCGUAACUAUAACGGUCCUAAGGUAGCGAAAUUCCUUGUCGGGUAAGUUCCGACCCGCACGAAAGGUGUAACGACUUGGGCACUGUCUCAACGAGGGACCCGGUGAAAUUGAAAUACCUGUGAAGAUGCAGGUUACCCGCGACUGGACAGAAAGACCCCAUGGAGCUUUACUGCAGCCUGACAUUGAUUUUUGGCAUGUAACGUACAGGAUAGUUGGGAGACGGAGAAGAUAGGCCCCCAGGCUUAUCGGAGUCGCUGUUGGGAUACCAACCUUUAUGUGCUAGGGAUCUAACUCGAGAAGUAACGAAGCUGAGGACAGUAUCAGGUGGGCAGUUUGACUGGGGCGGUCGCCUCCGAAAGAGUAACGGAGGCGUCCAAAGGUUCCCUCAGCGCGGACAGAAAUCGCGCGAAGAGUAUAAAGGCAGAAGGGAGCUUGACUGCGAGACAUACAGGUCGAGCAGGUACGAAAGUAGGGCUUAGUGAUCCGGUGGAAUGAGAGUGGAAUUGCCAUCGCUCAACGGAUAAAAGCUACCCUGGGGAUAACAGGCUAAUCUCUCCCAAGAGUUCAUAUCGACGGGGAGGUUUGGCACCUCGAUGUCGGCUCAUCACAUCCUGGGGCUGAAGCAGGUCCCAAGGGUUGGGCUGUUCGCCCAUUAAAGUGGUACGCGAGCUGGGUUCAGAACGUCGUGAGACAGUUCGGUCCAUAUCCAUCGCGGGCGUAAGAUACAUGAGGGAGACUGCUCCUAGUACGAGAGGACCGGAGUGGACGGACCGCCGGUGUACCAGUUGUUUCGCCAGAAGCACAGCUGGGUAGCUGCGUCCGGAAGGGAUAAACGCUGAAAGCAUCUAAGCGUGAAGCCCGUCCCGAGAUGAAGUAUCUCAUAGCACAAGCUAGUAAGACACCUUGA
rnacentral:rRNA from 1 species